CUUAAAGAAUACUCAUCUAUCCACAAAUAUUCUUGUUAUCCUAAUUUAUAAAUCACAAUCCCAAAUCUACAAUAUUUCUCAAGGAGUUGAAAACUUUCCAAAAAUAGCAGUUUUUAAGAAAAUUAUUUAAAAAUACAAAAUAUUGAUGAAAAAUUCUUUAAGAAUACUCAUCUAUCCACAAAUAUUUUUUGUUAUCCUAAUUUAUAAAUCACAAUCCGAAAUCUACAAUAUUUCUCAAGAAAAUGAAAACUUUCCAAAAAUAUCAGUUUUUAUGAAAAUUAUUUAAAAAUACAAAAUAUUGAUGAAAAAUUCUUUAAGAAUACUCAUCUAUCCACAAAUAUUUUUUGUUAUCCUAAUUUAUAAAUCACAAUCCCAAAUCUACAAUAUUUCUCAAGAAAAUGAAAACUUUCCAAAAAUAUCAGUUUUUAUGAAAAUUAUUUAAAAAUACAAAAUAUUGAUGAAAAAUUCUUUAAGAAUACUCAUCUAUCCACAAAUAUUUUUUGUUAUCCUAAUUUAUAAAUCACAAUCCCAAAUCUACAAUAUUUCUCAAGAAAAUGAAAACUUUCCAAAAAUAUCAGUUUUUAUGAAAAUUAUUUAAAAAUACAAAAUAUUGAUGAAAAAUUCUUUAAGAAUACUCAUCUAUCCUCAAAUAUUCUUGUUAUCCUAAUUUAUAAAUCACAAUCCCAAAUCUACAAUAUUUCUCAAGAAAAUGAAAACUUUCCAAAAAUAUCAGUUUUUAUGAAAAUUAUUUAAAAAUACAAAAUAUUGAUGAAAAAUUCUUAAAGAAUACUC
rnacentral:lncRNA from 1 species